ACACCCGAACCGUUUGCUGUCUUCC
rnacentral:siRNA from 1 species